rnacentral:lncRNA from 1 species
UCAUUGAAAGCCUCACUUAGAGGAAUAAUUAUAUAUGAGCUUUUAUUCUAUAAAUAUUCAAAGAUAUUCACAUCGUACGAGGACUUAUUUCUAUUAAAAACUUAAUUGUUAAGUAUUCAUAUCGAGUCCCUCUAUUUGUCUGGCUUUCAACCUUAGAAUGGGCGAACUGAUUACCUUCAAUACCACCCACUCCCUUCUUCUCCACCUCCGUUAAUACCGUGUAUCAACAAUGAUGUGGCAAGCGUAAACUGAUUGAGCUUUACCCCUAUUCAAUGAAAUGGCUUGACCACAUUUAUUCAAAAAUUAUUGUGGCCAGAGAGUUUUCGUUUGUUUUCAAUUGAAUAGUGGAUAGGUUUUCUGAAACAUGGGCAAACGAAAACAACAAGUGAAUUGGUAAUGGGUCUCCUCACCUCUCAUUCCAAGUCCAAACCAAAAUCAUCCACUAAAACAAUCAAACCAUCGCCAAAUUCCUGACUCUAUCCCCAUCUUCUUCAACACUACUCAAUUUCCUACCAAGUUCAAACCCCAACUCUGCGAGCUCCGUCAAGAGUUCAGCCUUUACCAUCAAUUCAUCUCAUCUUCUGUUGAAUAAAGUAGGGAUUUGAAUGCCAUGCGACUUGAAAGGUUAAUUUGGGCAUUCGAUUUUAUAUUUUAGCUUGGGCUGAAAUCAAAGUUAGCAAUACCUAAUUUCUUCAUUCAAGAUUUUAUGAUGUACAGG